rnacentral:miRNA from 1 species
UGCAGUGCCCACUGUGGAAGAUG